UAGCCAGACUCCUACGGGAGGCAGCAGUGAGGAAUAUUGGUCAAUGGGCGAGCGUCUGAACCAGCCAAGUCGCGUGAGGGAAGACGGUCCUAUGGAUUGUAAACCUCUUUUGUCGGGGAGCAAAAAGGCCUCGUGAGGCCACAAGUGAGAGUACCCGAAGAAAAAGCAUCGGCUAACUCCGUGCCAGCAGCCGCGGUAAUACGGAGGAUGCGAGCGUUAUCCGGAUUUAUUGGGUUUAAAGGGUGCGCAGGCGGAGGUGCAAGUCAGCGGUCAAAUUGCGGGGCUCAACCCCGUACUGCCGUUGAAACUGGCGUUCUUGAGUGGGCGAGAAGUAUGCGGAAUGCGUGGUGUAGCGGUGAAAUGCAUAGAUAUCACGCAGAACUCCGAUUGCGAAGGCAGCAUACCGGCGCCCAACUGACGCUGAAGCACGAAAGCGUGGGUAUCGAACAGGAUUAGAUACCCCUGUA
rnacentral:rRNA from 1 species